rnacentral:rRNA from 1 species
UCAGCUCAAUUUGAAUCUGGCCUCACGGUCCGAGUUGUAAUUUGUAGAGAAUGCUUCGGGCGAGGUCCGGUCUAAGUUCCUUGGAACAGGACGUCAUAGAGGGUGAGAAUCCCGUAUGCGACCGGUCGCCUCCGCCCAUGUGAAGCUUCUUCGACGAGUCGAGUUGUUUGGGAAUGCAGCUCAAAAUGGGUGGUAUAUUUCAUCUAAAGCUAAAUACUGGCCAGAGACCGAUAGCGCACAAGUAGAGUGAUCGAAAGAUGAAAAGCACUUUGGAAAGAGAGUUAAACAGUACGUGAAAUUGUUGAAAGGGAAGCGCUUGCAACCAGACUUGCGCGCAGCCGAUCAUCCGGUGUUCUCACCGGUGCACUCGGUUGCGCUCAGGCCAGCAUCGGUUCCGGCGGUUGGAUAAAGGCCUUGGGAAUGUAGCUCCCCUCGGGGAGUGUUAUAGCCCUCGGUGCAAUGCAGCCUGCUGGGACCGAGGACCGCGCUUCGGCUAGGAUGCUGGCGUAAUGGUUGUAAGCGACCCGUCU